AGCUUUGCACAGUGGCAGUACCGUAGCCAAUGAGGUUUAUCCGAGGCGCGAUUAUUGCUAAUUGAAAACAUACCUAAGAAGAUGCACAUGUGGGAUUCUCUGCAUCCCAGUAAAUGAUGGUGUAGAGCUGUAGGAUCU